rnacentral:tRNA from 1 species
GGCUUUAUAGUCAAUAAUGAUAUUAGACUGCAAUUCUAAAGGAGUAAAGUUUUACUAAGGCUU